GCCGCUGUGGCUCAGGGGUAGAGCGACUGAUUCGUAAUCAGUUGGUCGGGGGUUCAAAUCCCUCCAGCGGCU
rnacentral:tRNA from 1 species